ensembl:lncRNA
GUUUGAACUAGAUGUGAAGACAGUGGGGAGCUAGAGGAAGAAAAGCAGGAGUAAGGAAAGCNNNNNNNNNNNNNNNNGAUAAAAAAAGCUAAGUAUUUGAAGCAGGAAUUAAUUGACCAUGGCAUAAAUGAUCAUUAGGACGGAAAGGAAGGAGCUGAGUACUUAACGUCUGAGGGAUCAGAAACACAAGUUCAUACACAUUGGCUACAGCGGAAGCAGAAAGAAGAGCUUGGUGGGCAAGAGGAAAGUUGGAGGUGUAAACAAGCGUAUUCAGAGAAGUGGAAAGGGGUAUCAACUAAAAAAAGCAGCCUAACUCUGUUGCGUGUUACGGCUAUAUUGUGCUACUCCCACAGUCCUAGAUAGUCAUGCCUCCUCUCCCGGCUUCCCCUGAAUGUAAUCUGGUCACCGUCCAUACCUCUGUUGGCUGCCUAUGUUGGCACCAUGAAUAAGUAAUGAGAAUCACAUGCCUGGGCUACUCUACUCCACUAUGCCACUAGAAAGUGUCACUUUGACUGUAAUCUUUCUAUGUCCCAGUUUCUUAGAAAUGUGUUUACCUUCUUCUUAGAUGUGUUACAUGGGUAAGUUAAUUAUUGUCCAUGAAAUACUUUGAUGAAGUUGAUAUGGUGACGUAAAUUAUAGUGAAUUCUUAUUAUAGUCAAGCUGGAGUAUUAUCUUUCAUAGAAAUGUAAAAUUGGGUGAAUCUUUGCAGAACUCUUGACAAUGGCUUUGAAAUUGUUACGCUGUAAUUAAACAGGCAGUGUCCUACUAUACCAGGCAGAAUUAGGCUACUAAAAAGUGCAUCAAUAGCCCUAGAUUGUAAUAUUAAUAAAUGACCUCCAUUACAGAAGGCCCUAUGUAAUCAGAGAGUGGUCUGUGUUCUAGCUAUGCCACUGUCUCGGAUUCCUGCAUCGCCCUGAGGUGUGUUAGGACUGAACCAUACAUUUCUAAGAGGCCAUGGAUACAGAUAUAUGUCAUGCCUGUACCUGGCUACAUUUGUACGGAUAUUCGGGAAUCCAGAAGAGCCAAAAAUACAAACAUGAGAGUAUCUUCAAAGAGCCUGGCAUUAGGGAGGCAGCAAGUUCUACAAGUGCAGCCUUCCUUCUACAUACACAGCAAUUGCAUUUCUCGGGUUCAGCUUUACCCAGACAUCCUUCAUCUGACACUGAUUUUCGUUACGCAUUAUAAAGAGAUAAUCCUACUUAUAUAUCCUGGCAAAGAGACAGAGCUGAGUAUCAUCUGUAUACUGCUUUUGUUUGAGUUGUCUAAUAAAUACUUCAACGGCUUCAAGAAUGAGGGACGGUUCCAAGAGGGGCACUUCUCGGAGAGGAAGAACAUUUGUCCGCUGGAAUCCUUUGGUUUUGCUGUACUCUUCACGGCUGUUUGGGAAAAAGGGUAGCAGUGCCUUGUCGUAACAAGUAAUGAAAGUUGUAGACAGUUGGGCGGCUGUGGCUGCACUUUAGCAAUGCAUAGGAGGAGGUAACUGCUCAACCUGUCAACCACUGUACUUGGGUCCUACAGGUACCGGGCCUAGAGAAGGUAUGUUAAGUAGCAGUUAUCUUUUAUGAACAAAAAUACUAAGUAACUUGUUCAAAAUCCUAACCAGUCCAGGACAGAGCCACAGACUAAAUCCAAGAGCUCUGAGAAGCAUCCAAGAGCUUUGAGUAAGAAAACGCUGGGAGGCUGCUCAUGAAAGAUCUUGGAAAAAAAAAAAGAAAAUUUAUGCUUGCCCUGAUGUAUGUUUGAAACGUUUUU